AUUGAACGCUGGCGGAAUGCUUUACACAUGCAAGUCGAACGGCAGCACGGGGGCAGCCCUGGUGGCGAGUGGCGAACGGGUGAGUAAUACAUCGGAACGUGCCCGGUCGUGGGGGAUAACGUAGCGAAAGUUACGCUAAUACCGCAUACGAUCUGAGGAUGAAAGCGGGGGACCUUCGGGCCUCGCGCGAUCGGAUCGGCCGAUGUCAGAUUAGGUAGUUGGUGGGGUAAAGGCCUACCAAGCCGACGAUCUGUAGCUGGUCUGAGAGGACGACCAGCCACACUGGGACUGAGACACGGCCCAGACUCCUACGGGAGGCAGCAGUGGGGAAUUUUGGACAAAGGGCGCAAGCCUGAUCCAGCCAUUCCGCGUGCAGGACGAAGGCCUUCGGGUUGUAAACUGCUUUUGUACGGAACGAAAAGGCUCUGGCUAAUACCUGGGGCUCAUGACGGUACCGUAAGAAUAAGCACCGGCUAACUACGUG
rnacentral:rRNA from 1 species